rnacentral:lncRNA from 1 species
CAAUACAAUAAAAAUACUAAAUUCUCAUAACAGGUUUCUGAUAAAAGUUUUUAGCUUUUAGUAGACAUUGUAAGCUUCCUGGUGAUCCAGGAUAUAGUUUUGUGGUUGACAUUGGUAGUAGGGUGAUGGUUGGACCAGAUGAUCUUGGAGGUCUUUUCCAACCUUAAUGAUUCUAUGCUACACUUCUGAAUUAAAACUGCUCCAAGAACAUUCUUAUAUUUAUAGCAACUACAGAAUUACAGAAUCUGUUUCUGAAGCUGGGCCUUGAAUUGUCACAUGGAUUGGAAAAAGAAAAUUACCUUGAUUGCUCUAAUAAAUUAGGGUGUAUUUUACAGAUAGGACCUCAGCAAGAAGAGAUACUGUUCCACCUAAAACCAGAGUGGGCAUCUCUCCAUGCAUCAAUGUACAUAAGCUGAUUCUCAGUGAAGUGAAAGAAGCCACAAGGAAAUAAGCUCAUCUCCAAUAGCUGCAGCUCCAUGUUAGA